GAUUUAGCGGCGGACGGGUGAGUAACACGUGGGUAAUCUGCCUGUAAGACGGGGAUAACUCCGGGAAACCGGGGCUAAUACCGGAUAAUAAGAAGAAACGCAUGUUUCUUUUUUGAAAGUCGGUUUCGGCUGACACUUACAGAUGAGCCCGCGGCGCAUUAGCUAGUUGGUGAGGUAACGGCUCACCAAGGCGACGAUGCGUAGCCGACCUGAGAGGGUGAUCGGCCACACUGGGACUGAGACACGGCCCAGACUCCUACGGGAGGCAGCAGUAGGGAAUCUUCGGCAAUGGGCGAAAGCCUGACCGAGCAACGCCGCGUGAGCGAUGAAGGCCUUCGGGUCGUAAAGCUCUGUUGUUAGAGAAGAACAAGUACGAGAGUAACUGCUCGUACCUUGACGGUACCUAACCAGAAAGCCACGGCUAACUACGUGCCAGCAGCCGCGGUAAUACGUAGGUGGCAAGCGUUAUCCGGAAUUAUUGGGCGUAAAGCGCGCGCAGGCGGUCUCUUAAGUCUGAUGUGAAAGCCCACGGCUCAACCGUGGAGGGUCAUUGGAAACUGGGAGACUUGAGUGCAGGAGAGAAAAGUGGAAUUCCACGUGUAGCGGUGAAAUGCGUAGAGAUGUGGAGGAACAC
rnacentral:rRNA from 1 species